rnacentral:pre_miRNA from 1 species
AGUGGGAUAGCUGGGUCAAAUGGUGGUACCAUUCCAAGGAAUCUCCAUACUGCUUUCCAGAUUGGCUGCACCAAUUUACAGUCUCACUAGCAAU